GGCAGCAUGGUGUAGUGGUUUGAGUGUUGGACUUGGACUCUGAGAGAUCUGGGUUCAAAUCCCUGCUCCGCCA